AUUUGUUUAUGUCGCCAGAUGACGUCACACAUUUCCCCCACGGAAAAAAUUCUUCACUGCACUAUCACCUUAAUAAACCCUGAAAACAAACGAACAAAAAGCCAAUAUAUUUAAUCGAGCACACCGAAAUUAGCACAAACGCGAGGCAAAGUGUACAAAAUAUGUGGUGUCAGCUGAAAGAACUAGUUUCUUAAACGCAUUAUAUCGUCUAGACAAUUUAUUAUGCGGUCGGCGGAGGAAUACAGAGUUGAGUUUUGGAUUGUGUGUCUACAGUGAACGAGUGAUAGCUCUGUAAAAUGGCUGAUAGAGAAGGUGGAGAGGAUAACCCGCAACCGGGUCAGCCAAGUAAGUGUAUUGCUGUUUGCUGCACAGGAGGAGGUUUCAAAGUGGCUGUCGAAAACGGCUCUAAAAGAAACUGGGAAAUUAUUUUCAAAUUAGAACUUGACAAUUAAUUGCAUUGAACUGGCACAUUUCUUGCAGUAAUGAAAAAGUAGAAAGAAGUUAAGUUUAGAUGCAUAUACAUAAGUGUUCUAUUGUGUAUUUAUUUUUAAACUAAUUAUAAGCUUGUAAAGGGGAAAAUGAUAACACAUUUUCUUAAAAUAAUGUUCAUUUAUUAGGUUCGUUUCCAUUUCCUAUCCAUUCUGACAUACAUAUAUGGAUUAGAAAAUGUAUACAUAUGAGGAUGCUUGUGCCUUUGUUAGCUUUUGUGCAUUGUUAAAUUAUUAAAAAAAUGAUAAUGGGCCACAAAAAGAUAGAGCAAGAUUCCUGUACUCAGAAAGAGCAUUGCUACAUUUUUUACAUAAGGUAAGCAAAACUUGCUUGUAUUAUUAAAGAUUUUUGUCUUCUAUGUAAAUUGUUUGUAAUUACAAUACAGUAUAUGUAUGACACUGCUUCUUAAACAAACUACUUUGUGUGUUUGCUUACUAGUCCAUUCAUUGAAUAAACAGAAUAAUUUGUUA